rnacentral:rRNA from 1 species
AUGGCAAUUGUCUAUACAUACAGGAAGCCUGACAUCUUCUUGACCAUGACUUGCAAUCCAAAAUGGGAAGAGAUAACUAAUAAGUUGCUGCCUGGUCAGACUACGCAGGACCGACCUGAUAUUGUGGCUUGCAUGUUCUAUGGCAAACUAGAGGCUAUGAAGGACAUGUUGUUCAAGAAGCAGAUCCUAGGUGUUGUUGUCGCUUAUGUAUACGUAGUCGAGUUCCAAAAAAGGGGCCUUCCCCACGCACAUUUUUUGUUGAUCAUGGACUCAGCAUAUAAGCUUAUCGUUCCAGAGCAGUAUGACCGGCUCAUAUCAGCAGAGCUCCCAGACAAGCAUAAGUAUCCCGAAUUGUAUGUAAUGGUGGUAAAGCAUAUGAUGCACGGACCAUGCGGUGCUCUCAACCCAAAGAAUGUUUGCAUGCAAGAAAACGGAUGCAAGUGCAGAUACCUGAGGCCGUUCAAUGAAAACACAGCACAUGGGAAGGACUCGUAUCCAGUUUAUUAG